AAAAACAAAUCAUUUUUUAAUUAUACAGUACUUUUUUUAAAUUUUAUAUUAAAAAAUUAACCCUAAUCCCAUUUACUAGUCAUUUAGUAAAUCGGUUCAGCGGUCAACAGCGUAAAAAUCGAUUACACUCGCUUGCCCGAGCACGCCCGGGUAUCAAAUCGUAAUUCUGUUUGAUAAUAUUUGGGGAUAAGCCAUGAAAUUUGACGCCCGAGGGCGUGCGAGUGUUAAAAAGGGUUAACUGGACGCGUGUAACCGCUUUUAUCAUUUUGCACACAAGCUCGCUAGCCUAGAGCGAGAGCAUUUAGCCGUUUGGUAGGAAGGCAGGCAGGCUGGAAGCAAGCAAGAGCAAGAGCAAGGCCGGUCAUCCAAGCAAGCCUGUGUGCAGAGCAGAGGACAUGCUCUCUCUCUCUCUCUCUCUCUCCUCUUUGUAUGCGGCCGCCCUGUCAGGCGAAAGACAACUUGUCACCAUCAAUUCGGCGCCGGCAUGCUCGCUCGAGCCGCGCGCGCGCGCGCCCGCGUAAUUCAGCAUGCGGCGCUGCGCUGGUUUAUUCCCCCUGGGUGAUUAGCGCCGCAACGGCCUAUAAAUACUGCUGCUGAUGUUGCACAUCCAGGGCGGUGAAUACGCUCAUCGUGUGCACCGCAAACCCGGCCGGGCGUGUGUGAGUGUGUGUGUGUGCAUGGAUAGGUGACACACAACCCCAGUGGGCGCGCAACUAACUGCGCUUUUAAUUAACCUUUUUGCUGAUUGCGAGCGGACGCCUCUAUUUUAAAUGCGAUUCUCUAUUUGACAUCGGCUGCAAUCGUAUAACAGCGUUGCUGAAGAGACAAUGGAUUCAUUUGCCCUUUAGCUUGAUUCAAUUAUUGCAGCACCUGUCUGCUGUUAAACGGCGCACAAAAUGAGGAAACGUAAUUGAUAUUCGUGUGAGGAAUUUUUUGUGUGUUAAAAAACGGAAAUGAGCAGAUAGAAUUAAAUUAAGCUGUAAAACAAUGUGCAUUAAAAAAUAUUUUGAAUUACAUCAUUAUUAAAAAUCUGAUAAAAAGCGUCUUGCCCAUUCAAACAUGUUCAAAAUAGAUACUUCAAAUUCUCCAAUUUCAGUUAUAAAAGAACAAAAAAAUCGCGAUGGUUAAAAAUAUUCACUUUUUGACGCUGUAGAUGCAAUUAUGGCUAAUAGGGGUAGAAAGGUGAGGGGUGAGCACCCCAAAAACCACUCAGCUCAACAGGGGAAAUCAAGACAAGUCGAAUGGCGUGCAGUUUGUGUAUUUCUGUCGCUAAGAACCCGAGAUUUUGUGCUCACAACAUUUGUAAAAAUUCUAAAAAUCUGUUUUUUUUUAUUUAAAAUUUGAAUUACUUGAAAACAAGUCGAAUACCACCUUGAAAUUUUCUCACAAGUUCACACCUACCCUGGUAUCAAUUUUGAGAGGCGUUUCGGAUUUUUAAAGCUUGCCGCUGAUUUUCAAAAUCAAAAUAAAAACAUUACAAUAUUUUAAAACGAGACUUUGCGACCGAUAACCUCAAAUUUGGUGUUCAAUUCAUCGGGCUUGAUGAACCUUAGCUCUAAAAAUGAAUUCAAAGUUUACCAAAAAUGCGCAGUUUUAAUUUUGACGUAAAUUUUGUUUUGUUACUCUUCGAGUAAAGAUUAUCUAGACAACCAAAACCACUCAGGGAGCCUUUUUCUGACAGACACAUGUCCAACAUAAUACGCUUUUAUCAAGAGUUUUCACUGCUGACUUUAGGAAAAAGUAAGGACUAUGUGCGAGUCCAAUUCCUUUGAUAAACUAAUCAAUCUUUUGCCAUUUCCUUUAGAUUAAAACACUUUAUCUUGAGCCGUAAAGAAAGGGCUAAGUGACAUUUUAUCUUCUGGACAAACUCGACUUUGUCUUCCAUUUAAAAGAUCGACACAUCAUAUCAACAUCAAAAGUUUUCUACUAUUUUGCUGAAGGCCUAUUUCAUCUCCAAAAAUUCAUGAGGUGAAGGAAAGCAGUGUUUUGUAACAAGUUGAUUGCCAAAGGACAUCAUGCACGCCGGCUCUUUGUUGCUGUUAUUUGCUGUUACUGCACUGUUCAUCCAGUCGACCUGCUGGGCUUCUCAUCGAAUGUCGUCUUCGGAUAAAGAGGAGGAAGAGCAAGCAUUUGAUCCAAACCAAGCUGGAUCUGUCGAUGGAACUGUUCAGGACAUACGACAAUUGAUGGACUCACCCAAAAAGGGGGAUUGUGUCAGAUUCCGUAAGGUUUAUGAUAUAAAUUUAAGAAAAGUGCGAAAAAUGUGUUUCACUCGAUACUAAAUAUUGAAUUUGUUUGAUGAAUUUCAACCAUUAAACCAUUUGAAUUUAAAAGCAAGUUUAAAAUUUUUACUAAAAACACACAUUAGCAUUUGUACGAAUAAUUUUUUAUGCAAAGAAUGAAAAAUGUUUAUUGGAAUGUAAAAUUGUGACACAUCAACAUGACCAUUAAAAAACUUACUCACUGAAGAAAUCUAAA